rnacentral:rRNA from 1 species
AGUGAACGCUGGCGGUAGGCCUAACACAUGCAAGUCGAACGGCAGCACAGUAAGAGCUUGCUCUUACGGGUGGCGAGUGGCGGACGGGUGAGGAAUACAUCGGAAUCUACUUUUUCGUGGGGGAUAACGUGGGGAAACUUACGCUAAUACCGCAUACGACCUACGGGUGAAAGCAGGGGAUCUUCGGACCUUGCGCGAUUGAAUGAGCCGAUGUCGGAUUAGCUAGUUGGCGGGGUAAAGGCCCACCAAGGCGACGAUCCGUAGCUGGUCUGAGAGGAUGAUCAGCCACACUGGAACUGAGACACGGUCCAGACUCCUACGGGAGGCAGCAGUGGGGAAUAUUGGACAAUGGGCGCAAGCCUGAUCCAGCCAUACCGCGUGGGUGAAGAAGGCCUUCGGGUUGUAAAGCCCUUUUGUUGGGAAAGAAAAGCAGCAGGUUAAUACCCCGCUGUUCUGACGGUAACCAAAGAAUAAGCACCGGCUAACUUCGUG